rnacentral:rRNA from 1 species
AGAGUUUGAUCCUGGCUCAGGAUGAACGCUAGCGGCAGGCUUAACACAUGCAAGUCGAGGGGUAACAGGGAAGCUUGCUUCCGCUGACGACCGGCGCACGGGUGCGUAACGCGUAUGCAACCUACCUUUUACAGGAGGAUAGCCCGAAGAAAUUCGGAUUAAUACUCCAUACUAUUGUUUUUUCGCAUGAUUAGACAAUAAAAGUUCCGGCGGUAAGAGAUGGGCAUGCGUGACAUUAGCUAGUUGGUGAGUUAAACGGCUUACCAAGACUUCGAUGUCUAGGGGUUCUGAGAGGAUUGUCCCCCACACUGGUACUGAGACACGGACCAGACUCCUACGGGAGGCAGCAGUGAGGAAUAUUGGUCAAUGGUCGAAAGACUGAACCAGCCAUGCCGCGUGCAGGAUGACGGCGCUAUGCGUUGUAAACUGCUUUUCUACAGGAAGAAACCUACUUAAGUGUAAGUAGCUGCCGGUACUGUAGGAAUAAGCACCGGCUAACUCCGUGCCAGCAGCCGCGGUAAUACGGAGGGUGAGAGACUUAUCCGGAUUUCAUUGGGUUUAAAGGGUGCGCAGGCGGGCUUGUAAGUCAGUGGUGAAAUUCUGCCGCUUAACGGUAGAACUGCCUUUGAUACUGUUAUUCUUGAGUUCAGAUGAGGUGGGCGGAAUGUGACAUGUAGCGGUGAAAUGCAUAGAUAUGAUACAGAACACCGAUAGCGAAGGCAGCUCACUAAACUAUAACUGACGCUCAGGCACGAAAGCGUGGGGAGCGAACAGGAUUAGAUACCCUGGUAGUCCACGCCGUAAACGAUGAUCACUCGCUGUUGGCGAUAAACAGUCAGCGGCCAAGCGAAAGUAAUAAGUGAUCCACCUGGGGAGUACGAUCGCAAGGUUGAAACACAAAGGAAUUGACGGGGGCCCGCACAUGCGGUGGAGCAUGUGGUUUAAUUCGAUCAUACGCGAGGAACCUUACCUGGGCUUAAAUGUUUAAUGACCGGCUGGGAAACCAGUCUUCUCUUCGGAGCAUUUUACAAGGUGCUGCAUGGUUGUCGUCAGCUCGUGCCGUGAGGUGUCGGGUUAAGUCCCAUAACGAGCGCAACCCCUAUUCUUAGUUGCCAUCAGAUAAUGCUGGGGACUCUAAGGAAACUGCCUACGCAAGUAGUGAGGAAGGUGGGGAUGACGUCAAAUCAGCACGGCCCUUAUGUCCAGGGCUACACACGUGCUACAAUGGUCGGUACAGAGGGUCGCUACCUGGUGACAGGAUGCUAAUCUCAAAAACCGAUCUCAGUUCGGAUCGAAGUCUGCAACUCGACUUCGUGAAGCUGGAUUCGCUAGUAAUCGCAUAUCAGCAAUGGUGCGGUGAAUACGUUCCCGGGCCUUGUACACACCGCCCGUCAAGCCAUGGAAGCUGGGGGUACCUGAAGUCUGUGACCGCAAGGAGCGGCCUAGGGUAAAACUAGUGACUGGGGCUAAGUCGUAACAAGGUA